rnacentral:rRNA from 1 species
GAUGAACGCUAGCGGCAGGCCUAACACAUGCAAGUCGAACGAACUCUUCGGAGUUAGUGGCGGACGGGUGAGUAACACGUGGGAACGUGCCUUUAGGUUCGGAAUAACUCAGGGAAACUUGUGCUAACACCGAAUGUGCCCUUCGGGGGAAAGAUUUAUCGCCUUUAGAGCGGCCCGCGUCUGACUAGCUAGUUGGUGAGGUAAAGGCUCACCAAGGCGACGAUCAGUAGCUGGUCUGAGAGGAUGAUCAGCCACAUUGGGACUGAGACACGGCCCAAACUCCUACGGGAGGCAGCAGUGGGGAAUCUUGCGCAAUGGGCGAAAGCCUGACGCAGCCAUGCCGCGUGAAUGAUGAAGGUCUUAGGAUUGUAAAAUUCUUUCACCGGGGACGAUAAUGACGGUACCCGGAGAAGAAGCCCCGGCUAACUUCGUGCCAGCCGCCGCAGUAAAAC